UACGUAGGGUGCGAGCGUUGUCCGGAAUUAUUGGGCGUAAAGGGCUCGUAGGCGGUCUGUUGCGUCAGGAGUGAAAACUCGGGGCUUAACCCCGAGCCUGCUUCUGAUACGGGCAGACUAGAGGUAUGCAGGGGAGAACGGAAUUCCUGGUGUAGCGGUGAAAUGCGCAGAUAUCAGGAGGAACACCGAUGGCGAAGGCAAGUCUCUGGGCAUUAACUGACGCUGAGGAGCGAAAGCAUGGGGAGCGAACAGG
rnacentral:rRNA from 1 species